AUAAGAUCUCAUUUCCUUUCUUGAACCGGCCAGAUCCCUUAAUGGGUUUCAGAGUUAUGGCUCCUGAAAGGGCCAAAAUUAGCUAUUUUGACCUUGUCUGCACAAUAGCAGCUUCAUUUAUGAUUUGAAUUUAAUCAAACUUGCACAAAACUUGUAUCACCACAAGAUCUUUCUUUUUAGCUCACCUGUCACAAAGUGACAAGGUGAGCUUUUGUGAUCGCGCGGUGUCCGUCGUCCGUCGUCCGUCCGUCCGUCCGUCCGUGCGUCCGUCCGUCCGUAAACUUUUGCUUGUGACCACUCUAGAGGUCACAUUUUUCAUGGGAUCUUUAUGAAAAUUGGUCAGAAUGUUCAUCUUGAUGAUAUCUAGGUCAAGUUCGAAACUGGGUCACCUGCGGUCAAAAACUAGGUCAGUAGGUCUAAAAAUAGAAAAACCUUGUGACCACUCUAGAGGUCACAUUUUUCAUGGGAUCUUCAUGAAAGUUAAUCAGAAUGUUCAUCUUGAUGAUAUCUAGGUCAAGUUCGAAACUGGGUCACGUGCGGUCAAAAACUAGGUCAGUAGGUCUAAAAAUAGAAAAACCUUGUGACCACUCUAGAGGUCACAUUUUUCAUGGGAUCUUCAUGAAAAUUAAUCAGAAUGUUCAUCUUGAUGAUAUCUAGGUCAAGUUCGAAACUGGGUCAUGUGCGGUCAAAAACUAGGUCAGUAGGUCUAAAAAUAGAAAAACCUUGUGACCACUCUAAAGGUCACAUUUUUCAUGGGAUCUUUAUGAAAGUUGGUCAGAAUGUUCACCUUGAUGAUAUCUAGGUCAAGUUCAAAACUGGGUCACGUGCCUUCAAAAACUAGGUCAGUAGGUCUAAAAAUAGAAAAACCUUGUGAGCUCUCUAGAGGCCAUAUAUUUCACAAGAUCUUCAUGAAAAUUGGUCAGAACGUUCACCUUGAUAAUAUCUAGGUCAAGUUCGAAACUCGGUCACGUGCCAUCAAAAACUAGGUCAGUAGGUCAAAUAAUAGAAAAACCUUGUGAGCUCUCUAAAGGCCAUAUUUUUCAUGGGAUCUUUAUGAAAGUUGGUCUGAAUGUUCAUCUUGAUGAUAUCUAGGUCAGGUUCGAAACUGGGUCACGUGCUGUCAAAAACUAGGUCAGUAGGUCUAAAAAUAGAAAAACCUUGUGACCUCUCUAGAGGCCAUAUAUUUCAUGACAUCUUCAUGAAAAUUGGUCAGAACGUUCACCUUGAUGAUAUCUAGGUCAAGUUCGAAAGUGGGUCACGUGCCAUCAAAAACUAAGUCAGUAGGUCAAAUAAUAGAAAAACCUUGUGAGCUCUCUAGAGGCCAUAUUUUUCAUGGGAUCUGUAUGAAAGUUAAUCUAAAUGUUCAUCUUGAUGAUAUCUAGGUCAAGUUCGAAAGUGGGUCAUGUGCCAUCAAAAACUAGGUCAGUAGGUCAAAUAAUAGAAAAACCUUGUGACCUCUCUAAAGGCCAUAUUUUUCAUUGGAUCUGUAUGAAAAUUGGUCAGAAUGUUCAUCUUGAUGAUAUCUAGGUCAUUUUCGAAACAGGGUCAUGUGCGGUCAAAAACUAGGUCAGUAGGUCUAAAAAUAGAAAAACCUUUUGACCUCUCUAGAGGCCAUACUUGUGAAUAGAUCUCCAUAAAAAAUGGUCAGAAUGUUCACCUUGAUGAUAUCUAGAUCAAGUUGGAAACUGGGUCACGUGCCAUAAAAAACUAGGUCAGUAGGUCAAAUAAUUAAAAACCUUGUGACCUCUCUAGAGGCCAUACUUUUCAUGGGACCUGUAUGAAAGUUGGUCUGAAUGUUCAUCUUGAUGAUAUCUAGGUCAAAUUUGAAACUGAGUAAACUGUGGUCAAAAACUAGGUCCGUAGGUCUAAAAUUAUUAAAAUCUUUCGACCUCUCUAGAGGCCAUAUUUUUCAAUGGAUCUUCAUGAAAAUUGAUCUGAAUGUUCACCUUGAUGAUAUCUAGGUCAGUUUCGAAACUGGGUCAUGUGCGGUCAAAAACUAGGCCAGUAGGUAUAAAAAUAGAAAAACCUUGUGACCUCUCUAGAGGCCAUAUUUUUCAUGAGAUCUUCAUGAAAAUUAGUGAGAAUGUUCACCUUGAUGAUAUCUAGGUAAAGUUAAAAACAGGGUCACGUACCUUCAAAAACUAGGUCAAUAGGUCAAAUAAUAGAAAAACCUAAAGACCAUAUUUUUCAAUGGAUCUUCAUGAAAAUUAGUCAGAAUUUUUAUCUUGAUAAUAUCUAGGUCAAGUUCAAAACUGGGUCACAUGAGCUCAAAAACUAGGUCACUAUAUCAAAUAAUAGAAAAAACGACGUCAUACUCAAAACUGGGUCAUGUGGGAAGAGGUGAGCGAUUCAGGACCAUCAUGGUCCUCUUGUUCAUGUAGCCUUAUUGUGCAAAGUAAGAAUCAAUGCAUUAUUUUGUACAUUAUAUACAUCAUGAUAUUGAGCAAUCGCUGAUUUGUUUGGGAAUCUGAAUACUUUAAUAUGUACUAUGAAUUAUGCAUUGACUAUGCACUUCAAACAGCAAAGAUAAAUAUAAUAAUACCUAUAUAGGUGAAUUGUGUCUGGUGUAAUGUCUGAUUUUCGUCUGAAAAUGAAAAUAUGUUAUGCGAUUGUGUAUAUUAAUACUUGCAAUAUUUUUGUUAUGUUAUUUGAACUAUAAGGGAAACAAAUUUCUCCUGUUUGAGUUAGAUCCACUGUAGUACUCUCCCUUGCUGUUAUAAUAUUGCUAGCGCAUCGUGUUCGUGAAAUAACAGUGACAUGCUACACUCUAUUCACAAGAACAUAAAGUAUGGCUGGGAAAACACAUUUUUCUGCACAUAUAUAUACCUAAAUGGCAUUCCAAUGUAGGGCAAGUAGAUAAAAAAUCGUUAGACAUACAAAAAAUAUAUUUUAUAGAGCUAUUUACAGAACAGACAACACUUCCGAUGCAUGAUUUUUUCACUGCAAGAACGAAGUAUUUUUCUAUUUUUUUUCACCGAGUAAAAGUAAGAUCUAGUGUUCACAUGUGAAAGAUAUGCACAACUCUCUUUACUCGAGUGUCAAUGAUACAAAAAAGUUUCAAAAACUCAGUGUGUUUCCGUUUGUUUCUGUCCAGAGCAUAACGGAGAGCUCAAAAUACGAUUAUUCAGAAGCUUGCUCGUAAAAGUGGGUGUUUAAUGCUUAAUACGAUUGAUUUUGCCUUUGCAGCCAGUGUAGAUCAUGAGCAGCCUGCACAUCUGUGCAAUCUGACCAAGAUCUGCACUGUUCGCCAGUCAGUCAGUAAAUUUAGCAGUGUAAAAAUUAAAAGAAUUUAUUUAUAGAUUCAAAUAAGCAUGUUUAUCUUUACUCCUACAAGUUUCUUGCAUUUCUAUUGAACAAUAGACGUGGAGACAGGAUAUAUUCCAUAUCCUGCUAGUACAUUUCAGAUAUGAAUUUUGAUUAAAACAAAUGGCUGUCGCUUUGUUAAUUUACAAAAUAUUAGAUUAUAGCAAGUAAGUAAAGGGUAGUCUGCAAGAUGAAAUCGUUACACAGCUUGUUGGUGACAGGAUACGGGAUACGCUGUCUCGAAAAUCCAUAUCAGGCUCGAGCUUCGCUCUCGCCUGAUACGGAUUUCCUUCGCUCUCGGCUGAUAUGGAUUUCCUCGACAGCGUAUAUCACGUAUCCUGUCGCCAACAAGCAGUGUAACUAAUAAUAUACAUCCUGUGGUACACAUGACUCCUGUCAUUUUCUGGAAAUACAUUUGUUCACAAUACCUGUUUUAGAUAAAGAUAUUCUAAUUAGCAUGUUUAAAACGUUCAGUACAUACCGUCAGUUUUAUACAUUUAAAAUACAAAAGAUCUAUAGUUUUAUAAUUAUAUUUUCUUAGAUACAAAAUUGUACAAACCUUCGAAUCUUUAAGUUCAUAACAUGUCAGAGUAUCGUCUUGCUGUGCAUGAAGAAAAAUUCACAACACUGUUUUGAAAUGAAAUCAGUUUUUGAGGUAAUUUACACGCAGAAAUAUUUAAAUAGUAUCCUACUCGAACUGUUUUAAUUGCCAGUCUGAUUGUUUAUAUAUGAACAAAGUUUGCCAACAUGUAUUAACAUAGCAAGAUAUCAUUUAGUAUCCUGAUGUGAAGAUAUUUUAUAUAAAAUGUUAUGUCCUGCAAAAUCAUGUACACAUAUGUAUUACGUGUUCUGAUAACUUUUAUAUACUUUUCCCAUUAUGAUCAAUAAACAAUUACAUCAGUAAUGUGUAGCCAAAGCAAAUUGCUUAUGCUUGUUUUGCACUUAGAGUGCACAUUCUAAGACCAUGUCAUGGAAACCGACAUAUUAUUUGUACAAGUUCAAAGCUGAAAAGAAAUGGCACUCCUGAAUGCCUUGGCAUCUAUUACAUUGCUUAUUACUACGUGUAGUUAUAUUGUCGAUACUUUUUGUGUAUAAACGCGCUGUAAGAAAAACAGAUUCAAUAUGUUUUUUCUCAAGUUGAGAUUUCUUCAUUUCAUGUAUCAUAAUAUGAAUAUAAUAGGGUUAUUAUGACAGUAGCUUGAUCUGGGAUGCAGUAUUCGGCUCGAGUGGAUUUUGCUGGAUCGGAUCUCACGAGGCGCGCAAGCGCCGAGUGUGAUCCGACCGUGCAAAAUCCACUCGAGCCGAAUACAAAGUCCCAGAUCUAGCUACUGUUAUAAUGACCCUUUUAUUAUAUACCUUUACCAUUUUGAUUCUUGUUUUGUUCUUGAACAAAAUAUUCAAUGUUUAUCGAUAUUAAAUGGAACUUAGUGAAGCUUUUAUGUGCGAUAUUUAUAGAAAUGUGUCGGGUCAUGCAUAUUAAUGAAAAUAGUCCGGCAGCAUACAAUAUGGAAGGUACAAUACGGAAUUUAAAAGGUACAAUACGGAAUUUUUGUCUGUCUGUUCAUACUUAAUUGUGAAAUACAAGCCGAUUUUUUACAGAAUUUAUAUAGGUAUAUAAUAAAACUCCAUAAUUACUAUCUCUGUAGACGCGAGCUAGGAGUUUCUUAAUCUACACACAAUUAUUGCAAAACCUGUUUCAUUUACAUUCAACUUUCCGAGUUUGCAUCUGUAGUCUUACUGUAUGUGUCACGGUGUAAUAUAGAACUGAUGGGGUAAAAACUAUAACAUUAAAAGAGUGUACUACAGUUUCUAAAUGCCGACAUUUCAUAGCCUCUAUUCGACUUAGUGAUUUAUGAAACUAAAGAUAGGUAAGCCUGUUAAUUAAGCUCUUUAUGAUGAAUUGAUGUGUACAUGUCAGUUUUAUGUCUUGCAUGUGACUGGAAGAAAAAGUAGGAUAAUAGUACUACUUACAACAGCUUUGCGCUGGGACAGGCGGUACGUGUUAUGUUAUAGUCUUUUGUCAAGUUUGUAGUCCAUAUUUAGCGACGUUUAUAGUCAUUUUUGUCAUACAUAUUAUAAGUUGUGCGGUAGUUGCAUUAGUUUUUUAUUUGUGCAGGAGUUUGACACAUUUUGAAGGUCUGACACCACUUUACAAGAAAGUAGUUGCUUACAAGGCAGUGUUAUGCUUGUUUGACUGAAAGUGAUGAAAUCACGAUAAUACAUUCCAACUGCGGAAUUUUGUCCUGUCUUAUUCAGUGUAAGUCUGUCAGUUGGCAUGACGUACUCUCUUUUGCUGGAAUUUUGAGUUUAAUGAUAAUAUACGCUACAGUAGCACUAAUUCUGUAUUAGAUAUAAUUAAUUCAGAUGUGUGUUCACAUGAAAUUGUUGGCGACAGAAAUUGAAACUGAUAUUAUACCACUAUACAAACAAACUGACUUAAAAUGGUUACCAGCAUCCCAUUAUGUCUUUAUACUGACUUGGCAUGGUUACCGAGAUUUCGUUAUGUCUGCAUACUGACUUGGCAUGGCUACCGAUAUGUCAUUAUACUGACUUGGCUUGGUUACCGGCAUUUUUUUAUGUCUGCAUACGGACUUGGCAUGGUUACUGCCAUUUCGUUAUGACUGCAUAUUGUCUUGGCAUGGUUACCGGUAUUUUAUUAUGUUUGUUUACUAACUUUACCGGGUUCCCAUUAUGUCUGUUUACCGACUUGGCAUGGUAACCGGUAUCCCAUUAUGUCUGGUUACCGACUUGGCAUGGUUACCGGCAUCCCAUUAUGUCUGGUUACCGACUUGGCAUGGUUACCGGCAUCCCAUUAUGUCUGGUUACCGACUUGGCAUGGUAACCGGCAUCCCAUUGUGUCUGUAUACCAUCCUUGCACGGUUACAGUCAUCCCAUUAUGUCUAUAUACUGACUUGGCAUUGUUACCAGCAUCCCAAUAUGUCUGUUUACUGACUUGGCAUUGUUACCAGCAUCCCAUUAAGUCAGUUUACAAUCUUUGCACGGUUACUGGCAUCCCAUUAUGUCUAAAUACUGACUUGGCAUUACCGGCAUCCCAAUAUGUCUGUUUACUGACUUGGCAUGGUUACCGACAUCCCAUUAUGUCUGUAUACCAUCUUGGCAUGGUUACCGGCAUCCCAUUACGUCUAUAUACUGACUUGGCAUGGUUAUCGGCAUCCCAUUAUGUCUGUUUACUGGCUUGGCAUGGUUACCGGCAUCCCAUUUUGUCUGUAUACUGACUGGGCAUGGUUACCGGUAUCCCAUUAUGUCUGUAUACUGACUUGGCAUGGCUACCGGCAUCCCAUUUUGCUCGUAUACUGACUUGGCAUGGUUACCGGCAUCCCAUUAUGUCUGUAUAUUGACUUGGCAUGGUUACCGGCAUCCCAAUGUGUCUGUUUACUGACUUGGCAUGGUUACCGGCAUCCCAUUUUGUCUGUAUACUGACUUGGCAUGGUUACCGGCAUCUCAUUUUGUCAGUAUACUGACUUGGCAUGGUUACCGGCAUCCCAGUAUGUCUGUAUACUGACUUGGCAUGGUUACCGGCAUCCCAUUAUGUCUAUAUACUGACUUGGUCUAGUUAUAUUGACUUGACCUGUCACAGCCUGUCCUUCGGACCUCGGGCAGUGAAAAAAAAUUACAGUUUUAUAUCACAUUGAUGUAUAUUUUAUUUCAAUUUACAUUUUGUAUAUGUAAGAUGUUUUAUGAAUAUAUUGUCUUUAAAAGCAUGAACCAGUGUAAAGUAAAAUAUGAUUGUAUUGUACAUAUCUCACUGAAUGAAACUGAACUGUACGCGGUAGUUUUCUGGACGUAUGUAGUGUAGAAAUAUGAUACUCAUUUUUUUUGGCAAGGGUAAAUGACAACUUGCAAGGGAAACAUUUUUAAACAGAAAAUAUUUUGAAAUAAAUUAUAAUUAAGUGGCAAUACUUUUUAGCGUUAACAUAUAAAUGAUUGGAAUGGUUUAGAAUGGUAUUUUCAGUAAUUUUGGAAUUUGAUUGAUUUUUAUACAAUUUCUUGUAACUGCUCAAGAGUGAUCUGUUGUCGUAGUGCAGUAGGGUUAAAUUGUAAGAACAAAAGUCAUACUUUAAACUAUUUCUUAUAUCGAGUAUCUCAGUUACUUACACCUUAUACGAUUGAGAGAUGAAAGUUUAAUUCCACUUUUUAAAUAAUUCUAUACAAUAAACUCUGUGUCUUGUCAUUUUUAGCAAAUUUCAGACGUUUUUAGACAUGUGUGGUCUGUAUUUACAGAUAUUGUUUUACAAAUUUAUAUAUCAAAUGUUAGGUAGUCAUACAAUUAUGAUGUCAGUGUUUGUUUUAUAUGCAUGUACUGAUGUAGUGAUGCACAAUAAAACCCUUUUGCAAA